CCUACGGGUGGCAGCAGUGGGGAAUAUUGCACAAUGGGCGAAACCCUGAUGCAGCGACGCCGCGUGAGUGAAGAAGUCCUUCGUUGUGUAAAGCUCUAUCAGCAGGGAAGUAAAUGACGGUACCUGAGUAAGAAGCUACGGCUAACUACGUGACAGCAGCCGCGGUAAGACGGAGGCGGCAAGCGUUAUCCGGAUUUACUGGGUGUAAUGGGAGCGUAGACGGCUGUGCAAGUCAGGAGUGAAAGGCUGGGGCUCAACCCCCAGACUGCAGUGGAAACUGUACGGCUGGAGUGCAGGAGAGGUGAGUGGAAUUCGUGGUGUAGCGGUGAAAUGCGUAGAUAUUAGGAGGAACACCAGUGGCGAAGGCGGCUUACUGGACUGUAACUGACGUUGAGGCUCGAAAGCGUGGGGAGCAAACAGGAUUAGAUACCCUUGUAGUC
rnacentral:rRNA from 1 species